AUGGACGUGGUGACCAGCGUCAUGGGAAGCCUACUCGCCAAGCUGGGUGAGCUGCUUUUGGCGGAGUACAAGCUACAGAAGGGCGUCAAGGAAGACGUCGAGUCCCUUGAGCUAGAGAUGAAGGGCGUACACGCUGCCCUUACAAUGGUGGCAAAGGUGCCAAGGGACCAGCUCGACCAGCAGGUGAAGAUCUGGGCAGAUGAACUCACACGCCUGUCAUACGACAUGGAGGAUGUCAUUGACAACUUCCUGGUGUACGUUGAGGGGUUCGAUCCAGCAGCCAACUCUCACAAGCUCAAAUUGCUAGUGGAGAAAAUGACCAGCUUGUUCACCAAAGGCAAGGCUCGCCAUCAGAUCGCCAAUGCCAUCAAGGACAUCAAGACCCAUGCCAAAGACCUGGCUGACUGGCAUGACAGAUACAGUAAAGUCAAGGACACCAGCAUAAACAACACCAUUUAUCCUUGUCUAGCGGCUUUGUACAAGAAUCAGAAAGACCUCGUUGGCAUUGAAGACGCUCGGGACGAGCUAAUCAAGAGACUGACACAUGGUGAUGGGGAUGUGUCAAAUCAGCAGCUUAAGAUAGUCUCUAUUUAUGGAGCUGGAGGACUCGGCAAGACAACUCUUGCCAAGGCAGUGUAUGAUAGUCUUCAAACAAAAUUUAGUUGCAAGGCUUUUGUUCCGGUGGGUCGAAACCCUCAAGUGAACAAAGUUCUUAAGGACAUCCUCCUGGAACUGGAACCAAGCAAGUCUAUGGGUGAUAUAGCCAUAUUGGAUGAAAGACAACUCAUCAACAAGCUCGGAGAUCUACUUCAAAAUAAGAGGUACUUCAUCGUCGUCGAUGACAUAUGGGAUACAACGGCAUGGGGAAUAAUCAAAUUUGCAUUGUUGGAUAACAAUCUUGGAAGUCGAGUCAUCACAACUACUCGUCUUCAUCAAGUUGCCACAAAGACCGGUGAUGUCUACAAGCUAGAACCACUUUCUCACAAAUUGUCUGAAGAACUAUUCUAUACAAUAUUAUCUGAUGGUAAAGGAAAAUGCCCUUAUGAUCAACCUUCUGAGGUAUCUAAAAAAUUUCUACAGAGAUGCGCUGGUGUGCCGCUUGCUAUCAUUGCAAUAGCUAGUUUGUUGCGUGAUAAACCAAUGGAGAAUUGGUCUAUGCUAUACAACUCUAUUGGUUUUGGAAAUGGAUAUAAUAAAGAUAUUGAUGACAUGAGAAGGAUAUUAAUGUUUAGCUAUGAUGAUCUACCUUAUCAUCUAAGGCCUUGUCUGUUGCAUCUGAGCAUAUUUCCAGAAGACGCUUUGAUCAUGAAAGACACAUUGAUAUGGAUGUGGGUAGCCGAAGGCUUUGUCCAUGAGGAGCCAGGGAUAGGGUUAUUUGAGAUUGGAGAGAGAUACUUUAAUGAUCUCGUAAAUAGAAGCAUGCUCCUGCCUGUAGAGCAGAAACAAGAUAAUGCCAUAGGUGCUUGUCGUGUUCAUGAUAUGGUUCUUGAUAUAAUUUGUUUGUUAUCAAAGGAACAAAAUUUUGUCACCAUACUGGAUAGUAAUGGGAAAUAUUCAUCUUCACAAAGCAAAGCUCGUAGGUUAGCUGUCCAAACAAGAGAUGAAGAGCAGCACAACCAUUUGGUUAACAAGAGCAUGCCAAAGCUGAGAUCAUGUUAUGCCAGCAUGUGUCAUAUAAGUAUGAUGCCAUCACUUUCAUGCUUUCAAGUGUUACGUGUUCUAGAUAUGAAGAACUGCAAAUUUCUGGAAAACUGUCAUCUUGAGCAUCUUGGAAAGUCACAUCUGUUGAGAUACUUAAGUCUAGAGAACACAAAUAUUAGUGAGCUCCCAAAAGAUAUAGGAGAUCUAAAGUUUCUGCAGACACUAGACUUGAGGAACUGCAAGAUAAAAGGAUUGCCGCAGAGUACUAGUUUGCUGAGGAAACUUAAGUGCCUGCGUGUUGGCAGCAUGCGCUUGUGCACUGAUGGUUUUGAACAUAUUUGUAUUGAAGCGCCGAAUUGGAUAGGGAACCUGACAUCCCUGGAAGAGCUAUCUUUGAAAAUUAGUGGCGAAUUUUCUACCUUCGUUGAAGGACUCGGUAAGCUGACAGAGCUGAGGGUGCUAGGAUGUGAUUUAAGGGGACAUUUGGAUGAGCGCUCGAUGAAAACUUUGGUGGGUUCUGUAUGCAAACUUGAGAAAAUCCAAAUCAUACAUCUUGAGGACCUCGAUGAGUGGUCCGAAAUGGAGACAGAUACCUACUGGGCAGGCUACAAGCCCCCUCGGGAACUCCGGGAUCUGUCAAUGUCGAGCACUUUCAGUAGGCUCCCGGCGUGGAUUAAUUCCUCGCUGCUGCCGAACCUCUCCAAACUAAAAAUGGAUCUGUAUCAUUUUGAGGAGCCGGAUGUGGUCAACCUGGGGGGCUUGCCAAAGCUUUGUGACAUGGGAAAUUUGUGGAUAGACUCAUACAUUGAGUUCCCUGAUGGCGCGUUCCCCAAGUUGAGGUACUGCGGGAUACAUGCACCUUUCUGGUUUCUGCCGGGAAGCAUGCGGAGCCUUGAAUGCAUUACGUUUGGCUUCGGCACAAUGUGGUACAUGAGGGAUGCCGUCAUUGAUUUUGACUUUAUUAGUACCCUGGUGAACCUCCCUUCCCUCCGGUGGGUCUUCGCUAAUAUCGACUGCCAUGGUGCCCGUGCUUCUGAUGUGGAGAAGAUGGAGGCAGCUGUGAGGCAAGCAAUCGACAAUCAUCCCAACCAUCCCACGCUUGAUCUCGACAUGAGUGGUGACCCUCGGAUGAUAAAAGAACCAGCCUCCCCUCUUCUGCAUCAUGCUACUAGUGUUGGUACGUCUGCUCGGGAGGACAACAAAGAAUCGAGCUCCCAAGAGACACAACAAGAGUUCGACGACGACGAUGACAACCGCAUCAAACAAAAGCCGGAUCUGGAGCAGAAGAAGCAAGAUCAGUCCCAUGAAGGCCAGGCGUCGGAUUCCACCAAGGCAGAGCCGGAGAACCAACGCGAAGCCAACGAUGUCGACCCUGAUGCAGUGGAGAAGUGCUCAGUUCUCGACGUCCACCCCAGCUCUCCUGUCCCUCGCCUCAGUUUUGGCAUGUCUGCUCCAUCACCAGCGCACACAACAACCGCCGGUGUCAGUAACUCUGCUCAGGCGAUCAACGAGAAGGAGGAGGAAGAAGAAUCGCAGGCAGACCGACAGGAACAGCCGGCCGAGGAACACGAAGAAGCCGAGGACGGUUCAGCAGAGACCGUGCACGCAGUCGUCGCCACUAGUGUUGCAGAAAGCAGUGAGGCCGCCGCUGCUACGCCUGCUCCUCCUGUGCCCGCUCAACCAAGGUGGAGGCGUUGGGCGUGCUUUAGUUGCCUCAAGUCCGGCAGCAGUUCUUCUCACUAG
rnacentral:rRNA from 1 species